AUUGAACGCUGGCGGCAGGCCUAACACAUGCAAGUCGAACGAGUGGCGGACGGGUGAGACAUGUCUGGGAAACUGCCUGAUGGAUGGGGAUAACUACGGGAAACGGUAGCUAAUACCGCAUACCAUCCGAUGUACCCAGAUGGCAUUAGCUAUUUGGUGGGGUAACGGCUCACCAAGGCGACGAUCCCUAGCUGGUCUGAGAGGAUGACCGGCCACACUGGAACUGAGACACGGUCCAGACUCCUACGGGAGGCAGCAGUGGGGAAUAUUGCGCAAUGGGCGCAAGCCUGAUGCAGCCAUGCCGCGUGUAUGAAGAAGGCCUUCGGGUUGUAAAUUACUUUCAGCGGGGAGGCGUUACCCGCAGAAGAAGCACCGGCUAACUCCGUGCCAGCAGCCGCGGUAAUUC
rnacentral:rRNA from 1 species